rnacentral:rRNA from 1 species
AUUGAACGCUGGCGGCAGGCUUAACACAUGCAAGUCGAGCGGUAACAGGAAUUAGCUUGCUAAUUUGCUGACGAGCGGCGGACGGGUGAGUAACGCGUAGGAAUCUGCCUGGUAGUGGGGGACAACAUGUGGAAACGCAUGCUAAUACCGCAUACGCCCUACGGGGGAAAGGAGGGGAUCUUCGGACCUUUCGCUAUCAGAUGAGCCUGCGUGAGAUUAGCUAGUUGGUGGGGUAAAGGCUCACCAAGGCGACGAUCUCUAGCUGGUCUGAGAGGAUGAUCAGCCACACUGGGACUGAGACACGGCCCAGACUCCUACGGGAGGCAGCAGUGGGGAAUAUUGCACAAUGGGCGCAAGCCUGAUGCAGCCAUGCCGCGUGUGUGAAGAAGGCCUUCGGGUUGUAAAGCACUUUCAGUAAGGAGGAAAGGUUGGAUGUUAAUAGCAUUCAGCUGUGACGUUACUUACAGAAGAAGCACCGGCUAACUCCGU